GGGAAGCUCGAUAGAGUGAAAGAGUUGGUUCUUGCUGCUCUAGACCGGAAUUGCAUGCCCAGUGACUCACCUAUACCAAGUUCACUUGAUUAGUGGCUUUAACAAGUCAAGUAGGGGAGAUAUUGCAGCAAGAUUGUUAAUAAAAAUGCAAGAAAAAGGUCAUAGUCCAGACCGGAGAUUGUACAAGGCGAUAAUUUGUUGUUUAUGUCAGAUGGAGGAUCCAGAGAAGCUAUUUUACAGUUUAUUAGAGGUUCAAUAUCCUCGGCAUGAACCUAGCUGCCUUAUUUAUAAUUACUUCAUCGAUGGAGCUGGUCAUGCCAGAAAGGCUGAGCUGGCCAGAGAUGUUUAUGAGAUGAUGAAGAGAAAUGGUAUCACACUGAAUUUGCAGUCUGAAAUUUUUAUAUUGCAAAGUUACUUGAAAGGUGGAAAAUUGUUGAUGCUUUAAACUACUUUCGUGACUUGUCCAAUAGAAUAAGUCUAGGAAGAAAACUAUGGAACACCAUUAUUGUUGGGCUUUGUAAAGCUAACAAGCCUGAAAAUGCGUGGAACAUGUUCUGGGAGAUGAGAUGAACUGUUUUGCAGCCAAGUAUGGAAUGUUAUGAGGAACUUGUUAAAUUGCUUUGCUCGCAAAGAGAUUAUUAUAAGGCUGUUCUUCUGGUGGAAGACUUGGUGCAAGUUGGUCGUCGGGUGUCAUCCUUCAUUGGCAAUGUACUUUUGUUUCACUCUUUACAAACUCCUAGAGUCUUCAGUGCAUGGAUGCACUCAAGAGAUUUGCGCAAUAUGAAGGAUCACAGCUUAGCGCUAGGGGAGUUGAUAAAGACUUUCUCUGGUGGUAGUAAUCUGGACGUAGAUAUUUUGGAAAUGGAAGAAUUGAUCCGACAGUGCUUUCCACUUGACGUAUUCACUUACAAUUUGUUGUUGAGAAAACUAACCAUAAGUGAAAUGGACCUUGCUUGCAAGUAUUUCGACAUAUUAUGCAAGAAAGGAUAUGAGCCAAAUCAAUGGACUUAUGAUACAUUAGUUCACGGCUACUUAAAAGUUGGUCGAUCUUCUGAGGCUAGAAAGUGGAUGGAAGAAAUGUUCAGUAAAGGUUUUGAUCUGACUGAGGCUACAAAGACAUUUGUCUAAACUCACUUUGAUUUUCAUUCUAGAUGGAAUGGGGUCCCUCAUUCAGGUAUUGAAAUGCAAGAUUGUUUGAUAUUUUACUUUGUUGUAUUCCUCUUGUAAGGAGAGAAAACAUCAGCUUCUUUUAGCUUCAUCCACACCCCUUGCACUAAGCUCCCGCUGUGCGCGGGGUCCAUGUAGGAGGAUGUUUCCAUGGUUCGAACCCGUGACCUCCUGGUCACAUGGCAACAACUUUACCAGUUACGCCAAGGCUCCCCUUCAAAAGACAAUAGAAGUAAUCUAGGAUCUUAAGUUAAGUGGGAGGAUAUAAUUGCAACUCCGGGAGAAACCAUGAGCAAUGACCAGGAAAGUUUUUUAACUUCACUUUGUAUCUCUCUGGUAGGGAAGUGUUACCUUUAAAAGCAAAAUUUGGUGGGGGAAUUCUUCUCACAUUGUAAACUUCGCUCACUUCCUAUACUAUUAGCGCGCUUCCCCUUGCCUCUGGAGCUUUUUUCUUUUGAAGUUUUUUCAUGGGAGCUCGCCCCUAACCCUUGUUUAGCUUAUGGUCUUUCAACUGCCUUUAGAACUGUUGCUAGGGCCACUGGAGUUUCUGUGUUUUCAUUCAUAUUCAAUAUUCAACUACUGAAGGGAAGAAGCAGCACUUGCAUUGUCGUUUUCUUUCGUGUACUCCAGAAAUCUGACUUUGAAAUUCUGCAUUUUAGGUUGGUUUGCUUGGAUGUGAUUAACUGAUGUGGCCGUCUGGAAGUAAGUUGGUGGCACAUGAAACCUAAAUGGAAAUAUUAGUGCAUUUGAAGAUGGAGUACUCGUGGUUGUGGGCCGCAAGAAUUUUCUGGAUUCAACUCAUGAGCUGUGAAGUGGCCAUAUAAGGGAUGUCAUGUCCUGUGCUCCAUAUGAAUCCGAAAGGUUGAGAAGUGGUAUCGGGACCAUGGAGAAAAGCCUCAACGAUUGUGAUAGCCAACCGAUUAACAAGCUUACCUGCUUCAGGUUUCAAACCACUUGAUUUGAAAUGGUUAUAGGAAUACUUUUAGCAGUUUGUAGAUUUUG
rnacentral:lncRNA from 1 species